rnacentral:rRNA from 1 species
UGGGGAAUAUUGCACAAUGGGCGCAAGCCUGAUGCAGCCAUGCCGCGUGUGUGAAGAAGGCCUUCGGGUUGUAAAGCACUUUCAGCGAGGAGGAAGGUGGUGAACUUAAUACGUUCAUCAAUUGACGUUACUCGCAGAAGAAGCACCGGCUAACUCCGUGCCAGCAGCCGCGGUAAUACGGGGGAGUGCAAGCGUUAAUCGGAAUUACUGGGCGUAAAGCGCACGCAGGCGGUUUGUUAAGUCAGAUGUGAAAUCCCCGGGCUCAACCUGGGAACUGCAUUUGAAACUGGCAAGCUAGAGUCUCGUAGAGGGGGGUAGAAUUCCGGGUGUAGCGGUGAAAUGCGUAGAGAUCUGGAGGAAUACCGGUGGCGAAGGCGGCCCCCUGGACGAAGACUGACGCUCAGGUGCGAAAGCGUGGGGAGCAAACAGGAUUAGAUACCCUGGUAGUCCACGCUGU